AUAUACUUAAAAAAAUAAUAAUAAAAAAGAAAUGAUACAGAGAAGGCUAGCAUGAUCCUCUGUGCAAGGAUGACCUGUAAAUUCAUGAUGCAUUCCAUAUUAGG
rnacentral:snRNA from 1 species